GAGUUUGAUCAUGGCUCAGAUUGAACGCUGGCGGCAGGCCUAACACAUGCAAGUCGAGCGGAUGAAGGGAGCUUGCUCCUGGAUUCAGCGGCGGACGGGUGAGUAGUGCCUAGGAAUCUGCCUGGUAGUGGGGGAUAACGUCCGGAAACGGGCGCUAAUACCGCAUACGUCCUGAGGGAGAAAGUGGGGGAUCUUCGGACCUCACGCUAUCAGAUGAGCCUAGGUCGGAUUAGCUAGUUGGUGGGUAAAGGCCUACCAAGGCGACGAUCCGUAACUGGUCUGAGAGGAUGAUCAGUCACACUGGAACUGAGACACGGUCCAGACUCCUACGGGAGGCAGCAGUGGGGAAUAUUGGACAAUGGGCGAAAGCCUGAUCCAGCCAUGCCGCGUGUGUGAAGAAGGUCUUCGGAUUGUAAAGCACUUUAAGUUGGGAGGAAGGGCAGUAAGUUAAUACCUUGCUGUUUUGACGUUACCAACAGAAUAAGCACCGGCUAACUUCGUGCCAGCAGCCGACCG
rnacentral:rRNA from 1 species